rnacentral:rRNA from 1 species
GUGAGGAAUUUUCCGCAAUGGGCGAAAGCCUGACGGAGCAAUGCCGCGUGAAGGAUGAAGGCCUAUGGGUUGUAAACUUCUUUUCUCAGAAAAGAAUUAUGACGGUAUCUGAGGAAUAAGCAUCGGCUAACUCUGUGCCAGCAGCCGCGGUAAGACAGAGGAUGCAAGCGUUAUCCGGAAUGAUUGGGCGUAAAGCGUCUGUAGGUUGUUUAAAAAGUAUUCUGUCAUAGAUUAGGGCUUAACCUUAGAUAGGCAGAAUAAACUUUUAAGCUAGAGUUUGGUAGAGGCAGAGGGAAUUCCCGGUGGAGCGGUGAAAUGCGUAGAUAUCGGGAGGAACACCAAAGGCGAAGGCACUCUGCUGGGCCAAUACUAACACUGAGAGACGAAAGAGAGGGGAGCAAAUGGGAUUAGAAACCCCAGUAGUCC